GAACGCUGGCGGUAUGCUUAACACAUGCAAGUCGAACGGGGCUCUUCGGAGUUCAGUGGCGGACGGGUGAGUAACGCGUGAGAAUCUGCCUUCAGGAUGGGGACAACAGCGGAAUCGCUGCUAAAACCCAAUGUGCCGAAAGGUGAAAUAUUAAUAGCCUGAAGAGGAGCUCGCGUCCGAUUAGUUAGUUGGUGGGGUAAAAGCCUACCAAGGCAGCGAUCGGUAGCUGGUCUGAGAGGAUGAGCAGCCACACUGGGACUGAGACACGGCCCAGACUCCUACGGGAGGCAGCAGUGGGGAAUUUUCCGCAAUGGGCGAAAGCCUGACGGACCAAUACCGCGUGAGGGAGGAAGUGUUUUGUGUUGUAAACCUCUUUUUUAAUAGAAAAAGUAAGUGACGGUACUUUAAGAAUCAGCAUCGGCUAACUCCGUGCCAGCAGCCGCGGUAAUACGGAGGAUGCAAGCGUUAUCCGGAAUCAUUGGGCGUAAAGCGUCCGCAGGUGGCUGUUCAAGUCUGCUGUUAAAGACAGAAGCUCAACUUCUGAAAAGCAGUGGAAACUGGACGGCUAGAGUACGGUAGGGGUUGAGGGAAUUCCCAGUGUAGCGGUGAAAUGCGUAGAUAUUGGGAAGAACACCAGUGGCGAAGGCGCUCAACUGGGCCGUAACUGACACUCAGGGACGAAAGCUAGGGUAGCGAAAGGGAUUAGAUACCCCUGUAGUUUAGCCUGUAAACGAUAAACACUAGGCGUUGCUUGUAUCGACCCGAGCAGUGCCGUAGCCAACGCGUUAAGUGUUCCCCCUGGGGAGUACGCACGCAAG
rnacentral:rRNA from 1 species